AUCAGAUGAAGAGCCUAUUGAAGAUGAACAGACUCCAAUUCAGAUAUCAUGGCUAUCUUUGUCACGAGUGAAUUGUUCUCAGUUUCUCGGUUUAUGUGCUCUUCCAGGUUGUAAAUUUAAAGAUGUUAGAAGAAAUGUCCAAAAAGAUACAGAAGAACUAAAGAGCUGUGGUAUACAAGACAUAUUUGUUUUCUGCACCAGAGGGGAACUGUCAAAAUAUAGAGUCCCAAACCUUCUGGAUCUCUACCAGCAAUGUGGAAUUAUCACCCAUCAUCAUCCAAUCGCAGAUGGAGGGACUCCUGACAUAGCCAGCUGCUGUGAAAUAAUGGAAGAGCUUACAAUCUGCCUUAAAAAUUACCGAAAAACCUUAAUACACUGCUAUGGAGGACUUGGGAGAUCUUGUCUUGUAGCUGCUUGUCUCCUACUAUACCUGUCUGACACAAUAUCACCAGAGCAAGCCAUAGACAGCCUGCGAGACUUAAGAGGAUCCGGGGCAAUACAGACCAUCAAGGAUCUACCUACUGCUCAGUUUUUGCCCCAGUCAGUUUUGGGAAUGGAUCCUCUCACCUAGAACAAUGAGAUGGUUAUUAUUAAUAUAAACUUGGUAGGUUCUUGGGUAGAUUCUUGGCCAAAAAAAAUCUAUGGAAGAUCCUAUUAUAUCACCAAAACAUUUAAUAAAGACAGAUGAAUGACUAUAAUACAAAAAAUGGAA
rnacentral:sRNA from 1 species